UCCUUCUUUAAUGGAGGGUAGGAAUACAUUUGAGGACGACUGUAUAUAGUAUAAAAUACCAAUGGUUCUCAGGCAUGUUGUGUACUUCUGUGACUGUAAAUAGUUUUCAGGUCUGUCAGAAACCAGCUCUUGGUGUUGGUAGAAUGAAUUCACCUCAGUACACAGUCAGAAAGAAAGUAGGUCACCCUGCAGAUCAAACGUGAUCCUCUGCAGUCCGAAGCAGCGAGGCGACUCUCUGCAUCCUGUCUCUUUGACCACUGGCAGCUCUCUCAGCGCUCUGAUCUCGUUUUUCUUCUCUGCAGGCCGAGAAAGCCGAAGGAUUCAUCAACCUUUCCGGCUUCACCGUCCAACAGGCCAAGCAGUGCAGGAAGAAACAUGCCAUCACAGCCAGUCAUCCUCUUGUUGUGAACAUUCUGAUCGCUGCAGAAAGCUUCACAGAGAUGAACAAGUGGAUCAGCAAACUGUCAGAAGCAGCCGAGCCGUGCGAACUGAUCGACAGCGAAGAGUGCUACAGCGAGGGGAGCGAUCAGGACGUUGACGACUGUUCUCUGGACUCUCAACUGGACGCAGAAGACUCUGAAUAUGUGAGCUACAAGGUCUACACUGACAAAAUCCACAUGAACCUGGGCACUAAAAACAACACCUUGUGCCAUAGUUCAUGACAGAAAACAACAGCUGCUGCUGCAUCCAGGAUAAAGCGUCAAACUUUCCCUGCUCUCUAAAUCGCACAUUUUGUUUUGUCCUACCAAUACAGUCGUCCUCAAAUGUAUUCAUACCCUUCCAUUAA